UGAGCGUGGUACCUUCAGCAUAGUGAGUGUCGUGACUGCAGCCUCGGAGAUUGUGUCUCGCUUUCCCAUGGAUCUAGCCGCCAACGAACGGUGAGAGAACGAUGUCUUCAACGCAUCCAGGAGAUUCACCACUAUGUUAAUGAACUGUUUAGGAAGAGUCGAAUUAUUUAAUGCUUACGUGGUAACCUCUCGUUAAACUUCGAUCCUUGAACAUUUUUUACAAUUUUCGCACGAGAAUCGAAGGAUUCUCGCAACGAACGAGUGCAAAGUGAAUGGAAUUGAAGCAUUCUACGAGGGGAAAGCGUAAGAGUAUUUCACCUCGACACCCUAGACGCUUCGCCAAGUCGUUUGCGUGCAAAUUUCUUUAGUCUAGCGUAGUACGAACAAAAGUGUUCCACUUGUGACUGAUUCAUCGUAGUUGUGCGUUUGCAUUUGGAGUCAAUAUGGGUCUCGUUUAUUCAGGGGUACACCCUUCCAAUUUACGAAGAGGAUUGCUUCUGAUCGCAUGUGUCGAGGUUGCAAAUAAAAUGUAGACGUCUUGCGAUGACUAUAUCUAUUUAACACUAGAUUCGCGAAGCACGCUCGGUUUAGCCCAUUCCAAAACUGACAAGGUUUUACAGGAACCGUUUAUAUUUUUAGCCAACCUCUUAUGAUGACUUUUAUCCAUACAAAAAUGCAUAUAUUCAAAUUCAAUUUUGUUCGAGCCUCGUAAUUAAUUUUAGUAAAUCGAUUUCACUUAUUAAAUCGUUACUUCGGCAAUAGGAAUCUCUGCAUACCUAUUGUUAAUCAAAAAAAAUAAUAAAACAGUUCAAAUAGGUACAAUAAGACAAAAGUUUCUUUUUUAAUACGGGACUAUAUCGAACUGUAGUAAAUUUUAGAACAAGAUGGUCGAUGAACCCAUCGUGACUCCAAGUUCAAACUUUCGACGCGCCACUGUUACAAUUACAAUCGUCUCCCUUGGCGAAACGUCGAGCAGGUCGACCGGACAAGACGUUUCUUUACAAUUUGUUCGAUUGCGUACUAACCUCGGAAGCGUUUUUAGCCAUGGAAUAAAUCUGAUUAGGGUCUCUGUCUCGUCCUAGAAACGCGCCCAGCAUCGCAGCCAAUACAUCCUAAACAACCGACACCAGCCAUGUGCUCAGAGUUGAAAUUUCGUUGAUUAUGUCGCGUCCAAGUUUGAAAGCCCAAGCGCAACGGACAGCGAUUUACGCGAGUCUCGUCGCCAGCGAAGGACGUCGAGCUUUUCCUUCCGUCGACGAUUAGAAAAACGUGAAAUGAUCGCUGGCCCGUCCAAAGAAACGAUUUAAUUCGUCCCCGUGCAAAUUAAAUCGCUUAGAAAACGUGAAGAUCGUUAACGGCGCCGCGCCCCGUACGAAAAUAAUGAUCGUUCUUUUAAUUGCUCGUGGGGACAGUGGUCCUCGUUAACGUGGCCAACCGCGCGCUUCGAAAACCGAUUUGUACACCGUUGCGAUGUUUAUCGUACGUAGAGACAGGUGAACAGAGUCGUGACUGAGUAUUUGGGCAACUGGAAAGUAGUAUAGCACCUUUCACCCUGUAUAUCGUUCGCUUUGCGACAAAUAUACAGGGCGUCCCAAAAAUGUUGUAACACCUUGAAAUGGGUGGUUCGGGAGGUGAUUUGAAACAAUUUUUUCCUUAGCGAAAAUGUUGUCCGAGGCUUCGUUGAGGAGAUAUUAACGGAAAACACUGACCAAUCAGAGCGCGAGAAUGCCCGCGGCCGCUUAGCGCGUAAGCCUACGCUCCAGCGGUAUACGGGCGCUCUGAUUGGUCGGUGUUUUCUGUUAAUAUCUCCUUAACGAAGCCUCGUAUAAAAUUUUCGCUAAGGAAAAAGUUGUUUCAAAUCACCUCUCGAACCACCCCUUUCAAGGACCUCCAACAUUUUUGGGACACCCUGUAUACAGUGAGUGAAUAACUAUUACCACCUGAAAUAACUUUUCAUAUACUAAUAUUAAGGGAAAACAGUCUCAUAUAAAUAUAUUAAAUUCAAACGGGUCUUAGUUAAUAGAAACAUUUCAGUUUUUCGAUAAUCUACAAAAAUACAUUCGGAAUAAUGGUUUAUAUAGUCACUUUCCACUUGUAUUAUUUCCGUGGAAUAAAAAACAUCAAAUUCUCACCAUAACUGAUACUGUCACGACUCUACGUACAUAUUAGAGAAAUACGUAAAACAACAGUGGGAGUUUUUUUUUAUGCCCCUUCUUCAAAUUUUCUCCAGUUGCAACCCUAGUUUCGAUAGAUAAGAUAAAAUAUAGCAAGUGUAGAAGAAACGCAGGUAAACGAUGAGAACAGAAAAAGGUAUCACGAGAAAGGUGAAGCGAAGGACACGGAAUUGCAUGUGCGCGUUAUAAAAGGGGGAGAGAGUGUUAUAGUAAUCUUGAAUAAAAGACGCCGCGUUACUUGGUUAGCCGCUCUGGCGAGUCCCGUCUGUCUAUAUAUGUAUAUACAAUUUUUGACGUCCCGUUGAUAAGCAAAAGCGUCGUUUGCAAUUCUGUGAUACGCACAGAUGAUGCCCUGUAGAGUUCGUGAUACUGCCAAAUAAAAUCGAGGCUAGGUUUAAAA